rnacentral:lncRNA from 1 species
AAAAAAAAAAGGGGUGAAAGAAAGUAGAGGGAAGCCUAUAGCAACAUGAUACUACCCUCCCGGGUCUACUGGGUGCACCCAUUCAACAGCUUACUACAAAGAUAAGUCCUUCGUUUUAUUAUCUUUUAUUGAAAGUUCAAAGCAUGUUUCACGUAUAAGUUUGUGGAAAUAUGUAUGCUCGUGAUGACACUAUGGUAAUUAUGGCAUACUACUAGUAUAACACCCAUGCGACACAUAUAUCAUUAUUUAUGUGUUAUUGGCAUUCGACCGAGAGGCAUAAGACGAGAGAUUGGCAUUUGACCGAGAGGCAUAAGACGAGAGAUUGGCAUUUGACAUUCAGUAUUACACAAUUGCAUGAAUCAUUGUGUUUUUUGACAAUUAUUAUGCCAUAACAAUACUCUGUUCGCCCCAUAUUGUGUUAAUCAAUAUUUGUUCAUUAUGAAGGUACAACAAUCCUCGCCCGGACGAGUGAGUUUUGAGGCCGGGUGUUGGGAGGGGCAUUUUUUAUCUUAUUGGCGGACUUAAUGAUCACAGUGAAUAUCAAGAAAAGCAAGACCCGGAACACCCGUUCAACCCGCGCCUUGAGUACGGACUUGGGGGGACUAGGGCCGGGUGCCCGUUAAUAAAUGACUAGUCUAUGGGCACUUUAUAUAUCAAGUCCCCACUCAAGACGCGUCUUGAACGGGAACUUGGGGGGACUUGUAGCUGGUAGUUGAUAAACUACAUUCCCUGCCCAUAGACUAGUCAUGAAACUUGUAGACCGACAUCCAGGCUACCUCGCCAUGGUGAAAUAUCAUCCGUGCCACAUCGGGAAUAUGCUCUCCCAAGCUCCACAAGAAGGCACAAUGAUAAGAUAUAUGUGUAGUAGUUAGUCCCACAUCGAUAAUAUGUAAAAUGAGGGAACCUUCCUUAGCUAUAAAAGGAAAGCUUCCCAUAUGUAGAAAGCUCCUUGGCUAGCUAGCUGAUCUGAUGAGGGCUGACUGAAUCUCUCUCUCCCGAUCCCAAAGGCCUAUUGGCCAUGAUAGUUGAUUGUAAAGUGGACGUAGCCAUGCCCUCCGAUGGCAUGGUGAACCACUAUACGUCCUUGUCUCUUGCCCAUGAUGUUUAUUUUUUAUAUUCGUGUUCCACCGUGAAUAUACAUAGUCCCCGGGAUUUUGCAGAAACAGGCGUCGAUAUCUGCUUCAAUCGCUCUCACUCGACCUCGCUCGGGAAAACCACAAAAACAGGUACAUUUUGAAUUUUAUUGAAUUUAGGCUUAUUUUGAACUUAUCUAAUGAUAUUGAAGCUUCAUUCUAGGGAUUAAAGGCCAUGAAUAUGAAAACAUGAAAAUUAUAGGGUUUCUCUGGUCAUAACUGUUACAUAUUGUGAUUAAUUUUGUUUAAGAUUUUCUUUCAAAGAUAUACUAUGUAUAAUUGACAUGACAAUGAAAGGGAGAUACUGUAUUGUUGUUUACUCUUGUCAAGUAAAAGUUUACUAGGGGGCAGUAAACUUCCACUGGGUUUACUAGGGUUUAAUGAAGUUGUUUAUUAGGGUAAGAAUGGGUAUCUGUUGUGUAUAAUUGGCAUGAUUAUGAAAGGAUCAUAGUGUAUUGAAGUUUACUGACCCCCAGUAGAAGUUUACUGGGGGGCAAUAAACUUCCACUGGGUUUACUAGGGUUCAAUGAAGUUGUUUAUUAGGGUAAUAAUGGGUAUCGGUUGUAUAUAAUUGGCAUGAUUAUGAAAGGGACAUAGUGUAUUGAAGUUUACUGACCCCCAGUAGAAGUUUACUGGGGGGCAGUAAACUUCCACUGGGUUUACUAGGGUUCAAUGAAGUUGUUUAUUAGGGUAAGAAUGGAUAUCUGUUGUGCAUAAUUGGCAUGUUUAUGAAAGGGAGAUACUGUGUUGAAGUUUACUGACCCCCAGUAGAAGUUUACUGGAGAGCAGUAAACUUUAUUUUUUGCAUAUACAGUUUAUAAAUGCAAGUUUUUACUACUUAUAUGCAGGAUGAGAAGAAGUUCAAGACAUUUAGUUCUCACUUCUGAUACCGAAGAGGAUUCGGUUCAAGAAUCUGUAGCUUCUAUGAGGACAGAACAAAAUAUAGGAUAAGUUUUAUGGAAGAUAAAGUCGAAGAAAAAGAGAAAAGAGGUCCAAAAGGGUACCGCUGCUGAAGAAGAAGAAGAAGCAGAAUUGGUAGAAGAAGAAGAUGAUGAUUACACUGAAGAUGAAGAGGGGGAAAUAGAAAAGUAUCUUUUUCAGAAAAGAUCAACAGGCAAAAAAGAGAAACAAGAGGAGACAGAUUCAGGGGAGGAGGAGGAGGAAGAAAAGGGAAGAAAGAAGAAGGAAAAAGGAGGAGAAGGUGACUUGACCAAGAUCAAACACGUGCAGCAAAAGUGCUCACUAACAUCAUUUUGUGUGUUAAUGAAUAGAUACAGGGAGAGCAUCCCAGAAGAAUCAUGGGAGUUGAUAAACAACACUUGUUUUCGGGGAAUAAUUGAAGCAUUUAGAUUGGGUAAGGUUGAGGAGGAUCAAGUGAAGAAGC